UGUAAGCGUAUACCAAAGUUGUUGCAGUUAAAACGCUCGUAGUCGGAAUUUGGCAGUUCCGGAUGUGUGCACGUCGUGUGCGCACUUCGCGGGGAUUGCUUUUGUGGUCUUGCGUAGGAUGAGGCACUUUUAUUAGUGAACGUCCUCACGCAACCACUUUUUACUGUAAGAAAAUCAGAGUGCUCAAAGCAGGCAUUUGCCGUGAAUGUAUUAGCAUGGAAUAAUAGAAUAGGACUUGGUUCUAUUUUGUUGGUUUGUUGGGACUGAGUAAUGAUUAAGAGGGACAGUUGGGGGCAUUUGUAUUUCGGUGCUAGAGGUGAAAUUCUUAGAUUACCGAAAGACAAACUGCUGCGAAAGCGUCUGCCAAGGAUGUUUUCAUUGA
rnacentral:rRNA from 1 species